GUCGAUAGCCCUUUCUUGGGCGUUUCCUCCCUGUGACUUCCGCCGCGCCGCAAUGCGCGGCUUUUUUUUGCCCAUC
rnacentral:sRNA from 1 species